rnacentral:lncRNA from 1 species
GCCUCCCGGCGGCCUCUGCAGGCCCAAAUCGUCCUGAAGUCGGCCUCUCCAGGUCCAGCUCCAGCCUCCCGGCAGCCUCUGCAGGCCUAAGUUGUCCUCAAGUCGGCCUGGAAGUGGGCCUGGAAGAGCUGCAAGUUGGCCUCCCUGGGCCCAGCUCCGUCCUCUUGGCCUCUCCAGGUGCAAAACUUCCUCGAGUCAGCCUCUCCAGGCCCAGCUCCUCCUGCCUCCCAGUGGCCUCUUUUGGCCCAGCCCAGCUCAUGGCUCUCAGCAGCCUUCCCAGGCCCCGCUUUUGACUUUUGGUGGCCUCUUCAGGCCCAGAACUUGACCUCCAGUCGGCCUUUGCAGGCCCGGCUUCCUGCCUCUCGAAGGCCUGCACGGGCCCAGCCUCAGCCUCACAGCGGACUCUCCACGCCCAGCUAGCUCUCGCCUCACUGCGGCCUCCCCAGUCGAAAGCUCCUGCCUUUCGGCCGCUUUGGCAGGCCCAGCUCCUGCCUGCCAGUGGCCUCUUUAGGCCCAGCUCAUUCCUCACAACGGCCUUUCCAGGCCCCGUUUUUCCCUUCCGGCAGCCUUUUGGCCUCUAAUUUGUUUAUCUUUUGUGUAUAAAUCCCAAAAUAUGGAAUUUUGGAAUAUUGCUACCAUUAUAUAAAUAUUUUCGUAUGUAA